UGAAACGAGGGUCCUAUAGUAUAGAUUUGCAAUAUAUAUAUGUAUAUACUUAUAUAUAACAUAUAUCCUUAGAAUGGCUUAAAAAAAUGAUCAAUAAUAAAUAGAUAUUAUUUAAACAUAUCACUACCAGAACAAUUCAUAGCUGAGAUGAAAUUGUUAGCUGUGUAUUCAAACGAUUCCAUCAACGAAUAUUAUUUCCAUUCAACCAAUUUUGUAUCAAUAACAGAUGUACUUUAAUACUGACGCCUGUAAGAUGGCAUUCAUCCGUGCGACCACCAAUCCGUGUCCACGGCGUCGUUCUAAAGUUCACAGGUAGAUCGAUCAGAGAUAUUAAACAGGGACCGCGAGUUUCCUAUUCCAUAUUAUUGGAUUUAUGGCAGCGCGGAAUUAUAGGAUCAUACCUGCGGCAGAUCAACAACGGCACGACCGAUUCGAUAUCGAUACACAACAGCAACAACGUAUACAUCGACUUGGAGAACUUUAAUUGAAUCAUUAAACCUCCAGGCAGCUGAAAGUGGAAAAGAAACGACACCAGAAGAAAAGGUGCAAUUAAGAAAAUAUUCAGCCUCGACUACCAGGAUGAUCCUUAAAAAUACUCACGCGUAGAUCGUAAUCCUCCUGGUGAAAGAUUUCUCAUUCUGUUAAUAACGAUAUAACAGCGUACAAUCGUGGAAUUCAUUAGUACUAGCGAACACGCAAUUACAUGUACUAUUCAGGGGCAAAUCCGAUUAACUGAACGUUGACAAUUUUCUGUCUGAAUACCGUUAUGGUAGCUUUCUUGGAAACCUU